AGGCUGGAAGAAGAAAGAAGGAAGAUUGGCACCGAAGAGAGCAGGUCAACUAUUCAAAUGUGAGGUCAAACAAUGGGCGUAGCAUCAAGCCAACCUUUUCACUAUUAAUUGUGGGUGGGGCAGAGAAACAAUAGGAUAGUUUCUACAGAUCAGGCAAAAGGAGAGCUCCAGUUACAAACUUCACAUCAUCAAAACUGGCUUCAGGCUGCAUCAAACUCGUGUAGCAUAUAACGAACCAUAAGGUAGCAUAAGUAUAAGGACACGGCUAUAAGGCUUCAAGCUGCAUCUCACAGCAGAUUACAAUCCGCGAGGUAACGCAUAGGUAGGACAUGGCUAAAGCAACAAAAGAUCUAAUCGCCACUCUCCCCUUCAAAAUAAUAACUACCAGUGUCCCUGCAAGUCCUAGUAUCUGCAACUGGGUGCUUCACUUUCUUGCAAACUGCAUUUCCCUGCAAAAAACUUCUUCAUCGAAGCUUUCUAAACUAACAAAACAUGUUCGGAUUUCCGUCUGAAACUCCAAAACCAUGGUCAGAGCAAAGCCUUGAGCCCAAACCACGAUUUGGGCAUUUCCAAACGGAACAGAACAUGCCAAAUCACUCAUCCAAGUUGAUUCUCCUAAAUUGUUAACCUCUCAACCUUUCACUGUCUCACAUAUAUCCCUAUUCUUUAUAUAAGAUUCCCAACUAUCUUAACCUGAAUAAUUUAAACACAUAUACUUCUUAUAAAUAAGCCUUUAAAGCUCAAACUUCCCUUAAUGUUCCUCUCCUUUCUCAAUGUUGAAGGUGCUUAUUCCAAACGUAAUACCCUAUAGAAUUACGUCAUUGACUAUCACUAAAAAAUGUCACUCUCCAUCUCACUAAGUAAAAGUAAUAGCUUCUAAGAUCAUAAACGAAUAUCUUAACCGCAGAGCACAACAUGGUAGUCAGCUAAAUAAAGUUGAUCAUGUCACAGCCAACACAAGCAACAGCUAAAAAUCUAAAAUUUCACAGAAUUCACGACUCGCAUUAUUUAGAAUCAGAACCUCAAACAGAACAGCAUACAAAAAUUAGAGAGAGAAAAGAAACACAUGCACGUUACCUACAGAAAAUAACGCAAAUAAUACACAAAACAAGUGACAGAGGAGUAAACACAGAUGAAAUAAUUGAAAUUCAAGGAAUCAGCAACAGAAUUUGACAGAAAACAACAACCCCG
rnacentral:lncRNA from 1 species